AUUGAACGCUGGCGGCAGGCCUAACACAUGCAAGUCGAGCGAGCGGCGGACGGGUGAGUAAUGUGUGGGGAACUCCGCGAUGGGGGGGGGUAAAUAUUGGAGACGGGAUCGAAAAUCCCAUACCCUCAGGGGUGCCCAGAGGGGGUUAGCUAGUGGGUGGGGUAACGUCGCACCUAUGCGACGGGCCCUAGCUGGGCUGAGAGGGUGACCAGCCACACUGGAACGGAGCCACGGCCCAGACUCCUACGGGAGGCAGCAGUGGGGAAUCUUGCGCAAUGGGCGCAAGCCUGACGCAGCAAUGCCGCGUGUGUGAAGAAGGCUUUCGGGUUGUAAAGCACUGUCAUCGGGGAGGCGUUACCUGACGAAGAAGCACCGGCUAACUCCGUGCCAGCAGCCGCGGUAAUAC
rnacentral:rRNA from 1 species